rnacentral:lncRNA from 1 species
UUGGAAUUAUUCCCUAGAGGCAAUAAUAAAUAUAGUUAUUAUUAUAAUUCCUGUAUCAAGAUAAUCGUUUAUUAUCCAUGCUAUAAUUGUAUUGAAUGAAGACUCAUUUACAUGUGUGGAUACGUAGACAAAACACUGUCCCUAGCAAGCCUCUAGUUGGCUAGCCAGUUGAUCAAAGAUAGUCAGUGUCUUCUGAUUAUGAGCAAGGUGUUGUUGCUUGAUAACUGGAUCACGUCAUUAGGAGAAUCACGUGAUGGACUAGACCCAAACUAAUAGACGUAGCAUGUUGAUCGUGUCAUUUUGUUGCUACUGUUUUCUGCGUGUCAAGUAUUUG